UGCACCUCUUGAGAGCGGCGGACGGGUGAGUAAUGCCUAGGAAUCUGCCUGGUAGUGGGGGAUAACGCUCGGAAACGGACGCUAAUACCGCAUACGUCCUACGGGAGAAAGCAGGGGACCUUCGGGCCUUGCGCUAUCAGAUGAGCCUAGGUCGGAUUAGCUAGUUGGUGAGGUAAUGGCUCACCAAGGCGACGAUCCGUAACUGGUCUGAGAGGAUGAUCAGUCACACUGGAACUGAGACACGGUCCAGACUCCUACGGGAGGCAGCAGUGGGGAAUAUUGGACAAUGGGCGAAAGCCUGAUCCAGCCAUGCCGCGUGUGUGAAGAAGGUCUUCGGAUUGUAAAGCACUUUAAGUUGGGAGGAAGGGCAGUUACCUAAUACGUAAUUGUUUUGACGUUACCGACAGAAUAAGCACCGGCUAACUCUGUGCCAGCAGCCGCGGUAAUACA
rnacentral:rRNA from 1 species